UAUAUAUUAAAAUUAUCUCAAAUACUUUCUUUACUACACCUUGUUAUUAAACCACUCGUGUUUCCUCUUGCCACUAAACAAUCUAAAUAUAUAAUAUGGUUUUCAAUAAGGUUCCCCAGUUCAUGCUCUUAAUAGUUUUAAUUAUUUCGAUUGGGGAGGACAAACCUUCAAUGGUAGAAGGAAGGGUGCUUUCAUUAAUAUCUCAUCAAGGGUACUCUAAGAUUUUUGCGACGCUUGGGGUUGUUUGCAAGUGUUGUGAUAAUGGGAUUGAAGGUGCCUGCACAGAAACAUGGACUGGUUCUUGCUCUAACAUACAGUGUUUACCUUGGAAAACACACUAGUUAGUUUUGUUAAUAUCUUGUAUAAUUUUUUGUAAUACUUAUUUGAUGUACAUAAAUUUAGAGAAAUGAUAUGGAAAUUAAUUUUAUGGGUCGAAUUGUAGAUUUUUUUAUGAUAUAAUUGAUGAUUCUGUGUAGUGUAACUUUGGUGAACGUUUAUGUUAAAUUUUGGUUAGUAGCUA